CAGUAAACUGGAAGCUGACGUCACUAACAAGCAUUCAGGGAGCACCAAGAAGCAGACCAGAGGUCUCCUAAGCUUGACUCCUCUUCGGCAUGAGACUAAGGAAGCUCCCCAAGUUCCAGUCAGAGCAGGCUUAUGGAAGAGUCUUGCCCUAAGAGAAAAACAGGGAUGAGGCUGGGAAGAGGAUAAAGUUAUAGCAGGAUAAAGUUAUAAGAAGAUAACAAAGCAGGAUGACAUCACAUGGGACCAAGAAGGGGGCUGCAUCAUCCCUGGACCUGCUCCUGGGGGCUGUCGGAUUGUGGGCGUGGCCGCUUUGGAUGCCCAGGUGAGCCCUGACACAGAGGUGCUUCCUCACAUUACAGUGAGGAGAGGAUGGGGCCAGUACAAAGACUGAAGAACCAGCACUCCUCCUGGGUCCGUCUUUGCUAAGUUGAGUCAUCCCAGCCCAGGCUCAGAUGAUGGGCACUGUGGACGGAGAGAGACCUGUCUUCCAGCAGGCUUCUGUGUGCGUGGCUGCUGCAGUUUCUGAGGGCUGACCCAGUUUUCUCAUCUCUGGACUUUAUACCUUCUUUGUCCCUAAAUAGACCACAACACCACUCUGUGUUCUCUGCAAGCCUGGGGCUAGGAAGCAUCGCUGAGGUAAAGGCCUUUUUUAAGGUUCUCUGCCAAUAACAAACACGUCUUCAAUUAUGAGAGCAGUACUCCAUGAUCCUGAAUCUCUGCCAACCAAAAGAAAGCUGUGCACACACUGCUGAACUUUUACAACUCUACAACUCAGAGGACAUAAGGCAUGUGUAAGCCAGCUGUAAAUCUCGUUGACAGUCUUGCCCCACCCACUGGCCACUAGGCAGCUGGAUUUCCAAUUUCACCCCGGACACGGCCAGCCUAUCAACCCUCUCUGCUUAAUGCUCUCAGUUCAUUUCUCGUCAUUUUUCUACCUCCACUCACCAGGCCACUUACCCUCCCUUCCUCCUUCCAGCUUCCUGAGCCCUACAGAGAUAACAACUAGCAGAGUGCACCAGCACGUACAUUGGAUUAUCCUUUUCAUUGUGUCUGAGCCAAUCUGCUUAAUGUUCAGAUACACAUGGGGAAAAAAAGGCAAAAUAUUUUUGUUUUAGAUCCUUUCAGAAGGCAUAAAAAAAUAAAGUACAAACACGAAUCACUUGACAAUUUUAUGAUUAAAACCAACAAAUGGAAAACAGACAGUGUUGGGUGUUGCUGACAUAAUCAAGCAUUUCGUGUGGACCCACUCAACCACCCCAUUUCUUGGAUCUAUUUCUGGAUGUACCAAAUGUGUCUGAAGAUGAACUCACUUUCGCACAUCAAAGAUGUAUCCAGUGUUAAACACCGGAGCCAGAACCCAGGUGAAAAUCUGCUGGUUCAGGGCAACACCACUUCCGGCUUUAUUAAACACUCAAAAGUCAGGUUCCCAAGAAACGCUUGGAUCUAUCCGCAAGUAUAACAUGUCAAAAGUGUUAAAUGUGACCAUGAGAAAAAUGACAUGAGCAUGUUUCAUCUUUGGGUAGAGGGUGGUGGUUUUCUGGGAAGACAUUGUCUGAGCCACCGAGUAGAGAAGUCAAAUGGAAGACGUUUAGCAUGUGCUUAAUUCUUGCUUGAUAAGAACAAGAAAUCCCGGAAAAGGUCACCCACAGAACGGUGAGCAAAGUCCCCAGUGAACAAGUUUGAGGUGGGGCUUAGCAGUUCGUUUACAGUUGUGGAAAACUGUUUUAGUCACUUGGCCAAAAACCAUAUGAGGGGAGGCAACCUGAAACCCUAGACUACUUGACUCUCCCUGCAUUUUUCUGCUAGAAGCAGGAUAAAAAGCCUAAAAUUUUGGCUGCAUCUCUAUUUAUGUAACAGCCACAGCUGCUCCCCAAAAUAGCUGCUGUUGGCCAAAAGAAUUACGGGAUUUUGUUGCUAAUAUGUGAAUCUAUAGUCAAUAGCACUCUGCUAAGUUUCCUUCCCUUCCCUUUUGCCGUCCCAGGUCUAAAAGGAGAUAGGGAAUCUCAUUAUUUGCACAUCAGUGGUGCCAUCAGUUAUGUGGAUAGAUUUUAAAAUCGAGGCUCAUCUUUUCGGCAAGAGCAAAUUGACACAGAACAUCUUAACUCUCCACCUUCUGCAGGCGGCAGUGUGGCUAAUAUCGAGGCCCUUCAAAGUCACAACUCCAAAAGAGAGAAACAUACAGUGCUCCUGUGUUUUUUGUGGGACAAACCCAGACCCGGACUGCUGGCGUGGCAUUUAAUAGGAUGCCCUCCCCUGAAAGUAACAAAGAGAACCCUCGUCAAAGCUAUCAAACACGUUAAAAAAAUACAAA
rnacentral:lncRNA from 1 species